UAAGUGGGAAACGAUGUGGGAAGGCCCAGACAGCCAGGAUGUUGGCUUAGAAGCAGCCAUCAUUUAAAGAAAGCGUAAUAGCUCACUGGUCGAGUCGGCCUGCGCGGAAGAUGUAACGGGGCUAAACCAUGCACCGAAGCUGCGGCAGCGACACUGUGUGUUGUUGGGUAGGGGAGCGUUCUGUAAGCCUGUGAAGGUGGCCUGUGAGGGUUGCUGGAGGUAUCAGAAGUGCGAAUGCUGACAUAAGUAACGAUAAAGCGGGUGAAAAGCCCGCUCGCCGGAAGACCAAGGGUUCCUGUCCAACGUUAAUCGGGGCAGGGUGAGUCGACCCCUAAGGCGAGGCCGAAAGGCGUAGUCGAUGGGAAACGGGUUAAUAUUCCCGUACUUGGUGUUACUGCGAAGGGGGGACGGAGAAGGCUAUGUUGGCCGGGCGACGGUUGUCCCGGUUUAAGCGUGUAGGUGUGUGUUCCAGGUAAAUCCGGUUCACUUUAACACUGAGGCGUGACGACGAGGCACUACGGUGCUGAAGCAACAAAUGCCCUGCUUCCAGGAAAAGCCUCUAAGCAUCAGGUAACAUCAAAUCGUACCCCAAACCGACACAGGUGGUCAGGUAGAGAAUACCAAGGCGCUUGAGAGAACUCGGGUGAAGGAACUAGGCAAAAUGGUGCCGUAACUUCGGGAGAAGGCACGCUGACACGUAGGUGAAGUGAUUUACUCACGGAGCUGAAGUCAGUCGAAGAUACCAGCUGGCUGCAACUGUUUAUUAAAAACACAGCACUGUGCAAACACGAAAGUGGACGUAUACGGUGUGACGCCUGCCCGGUGCCGGAAGGUUAAUUGAUGGGGUCAGCGCAAGCGAAGCUCCUGAUCGAAGCCCCGGUAAACGGCGGCCGUAACUAUAACGGUCCUAAGGUAGCGAAAUUCCUUGUCGGGUAAGUUCCGACCUGCACGAAUGGCGUAAUGAUGGCCAGGCUGUCUCCACCCGAGACUCAGUGAAAUUGAACUCGCUGUGAAGAUGCAGUGUACCCGCGGCAAGACGGAAAGACCCCGUGAACCUUUACUAUAGCUUGACACUGAACAUUGAGCCUUGAUGUGUAGGAUAGGUGGGAGGCUUUGAAGCGUGGACGCCAGUCUGCGUGGAGCCGACCUUGAAAUACCACCCUUUAAUGUUUGAUGUUCUAACGUGGACCCGUGAUCCGGGUUGCGGACAGUGUCUGGUGGGUAGUUUGACUGGGGCGGUCUCCUCCUAAAGAGUAACGGAGGAGCACGAAGGUUGGCUAAUCCUGGUCGGACAUCAGGAGGUUAGUGCAAUGGCAUAAGCCAGCUUGACUGCGAGCGUGACGGCGCGAGCAGGUGCGAAAGCAGGUCAUAGUGAUCCGGUGGUUCUGAAUGGAAGGGCCAUCGCUCAACGGAUAAAAGGUACUCCGGGGAUAACAGGCUGAUACCGCCCAAGAGUUCAUAUCGACGGCGGUGUUUGGCACCUCGAUGUCGGCUCAUCACAUCCUGGGGCUGAAGUAGGUCCCAAGGGUAUGGCUGUUCGCCAUUUAAAGUGGUACGCGAGCUGGGUUUAGAACGUCGUGAGACAGUUCGGUCCCUAUCUGCCGUGGGCGCUGGAGAACUGAGGGGGGCUGCUCCUAGUACGAGAGGACCGGAGUGGACGCAUCACUGGUGUUCGGGUUGUCAUGCCAAUGGCACUGCCCGGUAGCUAAAUGCGGAAGAGAUAAGUGCUGAAAGCAUCUAAGCACGAAACUUGCCCCGAGAUGAGUUCUCCCUGAGACUUAAAGUCUCCUGAAGGAACGUUGAAGACGACGACGUUGAUAGGCCGGGUGUGUAAGCGCAGCGAUGCGUUGAGCUAACCGGUACUAAUGAACCGUGAGGCUUAACCUUAC
rnacentral:rRNA from 1 species